ACCUACGGGGCGCAGCAGUGGGGAAUAUUGCACAAUGGGGGGAACCCUGAUGCAGCGACGCCGCGUGAGUGAAGAAGUAUUUCGGUAUGUAAAGCUCUAUCAGCAGGGAAGAAAUAAAGUCCUUCGGACUUUGGACGGUACCUGACUAAGAAGCCCCGGCUAACUACGUGCCAGCAGCCGCGGUAAUACGUAGGGGGCAAGCGUUAUCCGGAUUUACUGGGUGUAAAGGGAGCGUAGGUGGCAAGGCAAGUCAGAUGUGAAAACCCGGGGCCCAACCCCGGGAGUGCAUUUGAAACUGUCUGGCU
rnacentral:rRNA from 1 species